rnacentral:rRNA from 1 species
ACCUUAAAGCUAGCCUAAUCAACUAUUAAAAUCUAACUCUAUUAAUUUCACCCACACCAUAAACUUAAACUAAAACAUUCUUUAACCUUAAGUAUGGGCGACAGAACAAGGACCA